GGCGGCGUAGCCAAGUGGACAAAGGCGGGGGACUGCAAAUCCCUUAUUCGCGGGUUCGAAUCCCGCCGCCGCCUCCA
rnacentral:tRNA from 1 species